UAUGUCAUCAGCUAUCAGAGGUUAUGGCUGAUAUGUAAAUCAUUUCUCAUUUCUACAUAUAUCAAUUUAUCAAAAGCAAAAAUAAUAAUAGGUACCAUCCAAUAAUUGAUCAUUUUAAUUAUAUAUAUAUAUAUAUAUAUAUAUAUGAAAGAAAGAAAGUCAUGAUCGAGAAAUUAUACGGAAAAUCGGCACGCCGCAGCCAGGACUCGAACCACGGGUCUCUGGAUUGCCGGUCCAGUAUGCUAACCACUACACCACAGCGGCCGUUGCUUUUUCUUCGUGCUAAUUGGCCUAAUAUAUUUAAGUUAUUUUUAUCUUUAUUGUGAGGUCAUCACUUUUAUUACGGUAGCGGCGAGCUAUUUAUAGCUUCUUUUACCGCAGUUGGCUGACUCGGUCACUAUUAAUUUUCUUAUUACAAAUAUCUUAUGGCAAACACAUUUAUUGUUUUAUAAGACUAUUCCCGCCCAAGAAUGAAUAUAUAUGAAAGAAAGUCAUGAGCGAGAAUUUAUACAUAGAAAAAUCGCAUGAAAAAUCGGCACGCCGCAGCCAGGACUCGAACCACGGGUCUCUGGAUUGCCGGUCCAGUAUGCUAACCACUACACCACAGCGGCCGUUGCUUUUUCUUCGUGCUAAUUAGCCAUAUAUAUUUAAGUUAUUUUUAUCUUUAUUGUGACGUCAACACUUUUAUAACCAUAGCGGCGAGCUAUUUAUAGCUUCUUUUACCGCAGUUGGCUGACUCAGUCACUAUUAAUUUUCUUAUAACAAAUAUCUUAUGGCAAACAUAUUUAUUGUUUUAUAAGACCAUUCCCGCCCAAGAACGAAUAUAUAUGAAAGAAAGAAAGUCAUGAGCGAGAAAUUAUACAUAGAAAAAUCGCAAGAAAAAUCGACACGCCGCAGCCGGGACUCGAACCACGGGUCUCUAGAUUGCUGGUCCAGUAUGCUAACCACUACACCACGGCGGCCGUUGCUUUUUCUUCGUGCUAAUUGGCCUUUUAUAUUUAAGUUAUUUUUAGCUCACCUGACAAGGUGAUGUAUAGUGAUGGGGCUAUGUCCGUCGUUGUGCGUCGUUUGUCGUCAACAAUUGGGUUGUUAACAGUCUAGCAGUCACAGUUUUGAUUGAAUCAUUGUCAGAAUGUUUGUCUCAAUGAAAUACAGAUCGAGUCGAGGAUGGGUUAUCUCGAGUCAAAAACUAGGUCACAGGAGCUAAAAGAAGAAAAAGCUUGUAAACACUCUAGUGGCUGCAGUUUUGAUCUAAAUAUUCUGGAAAUUUUCAGGAUGGAGUGAGUUACGCCUUAGAUACUGGAAAACAUGUGGCCAUUGCCAAAAGAACUGUUGGUGCCUCAUAUCAAUGAGAGAGCCUGACACUGUCACAUAUUGGACAUAAAGUAGUGCAGUGCCUGACAAAUCAGCCAUAACUUGUCACUUGUACCAGGAGGAUGAAAUUGAACUUUACAAAUCCGAUGUCAGAAAUUGCAAGACUUUUGAAAAGGAAAAGUUAAUUGCGUAUAUCUUAAGAUAAAUUACUUGAGAGUGUGUAGCUUCUUACAAUUCUGACAGUCAAGAUCUCAUUGAAUUAAAUGUCCUUUGGGACAAUGUAGAUAAUGUUUCAUAGUGAUUGAAAAAACAAUGCAGCAACAAGCAAUUACCUAAAAUUAAUUUAAAGUGAAGAUCUCCUUAUGCAGUAUUCUACCUUUUAAUGCUUCCUGAAAAACAUUUGCAAAGCAUAUAGUUGCCGCUUUGUCCUUCUUUAAUUAUGUCACACUUAUGUCACAAUUAUGUCCUAUAGUUUUUCCUUUUAACUUUAUUUAUUGACCAAUAUCUUUCAUAUUUGAUAGGUAGAUACUUUUUAUGGUCCUUUUAGUAACUCUGUGCGAGUUUGACCUUUACUAGGGUAAAGGUCACCAGUGCAAAGAAUAUUCUACACUUGCUUGAACAACCAUUAUUAAUUGACAUAAAAGCAUUUCAUAUUUGGUAGGAACAUUUCUUCUGUAGUUCUCUAACUUAAGUUGGGGUUGUUGAGGUCAAUUGCAAGAAAAAUAGAGAGAGAUUUUUACAUUUUCCUUCACAUACUUCAGUUUAGUGUUUGGAAGCAUUCAUUGCCAUUUUGCACACUGUCUUAAUUUAUUACCUGAAUUAUUCCAGGAAAGGUAGAAUACUGUUAUUUUCUGAUGUGAAUUUUGACUGAGUAAGGCCUUUAGUGUAGCAGUAUUAUAAAUUUGUUGUCAUAGAAAAGAUAGGUAAUAUUGUUGAGAAUUUAGGACUUUUAUAAUGUCAAAUGCAAUAAAGGAACACAGCAGAAACCGAAUACAUUGUACCAGGAGAUGAACUCUUUGUUUAAUGUGUUUUUAACCAGGUUUUCCGAAGGAAAAAACUGGUUAUUAGAUUGAGGUAUGUCGGCGGGCGGAUGGGCGGGCGGGCGGGCGUAAACAAUUUCUUCUGUGCGCAACUCCUCCUACAUUUCUCAACGGAUUUUGACCAAACUUUCACAGAAGCUUUGUCAUCAAGUGCCCUGGCGCAUAUUGUCGGGGUUCUGCGAUUAGAUAAUAUUUGACCUAAUUAUGGCCUUUUGUUUUUUUUCCUUAUAUAAAAUAUAUAGUGAACAAUUUCUUCUGUGCGCAACUCCUCCUACAUUUCUCAACGGAUUUUGACCAAACUUUCUCAGAAGCUUUGUCAUCAAGUGCCCUGACACAUAUUGCCAGGGUUUUGCAAUUGGUAUAUAUUUGACCUAAUUAUGGCCCUUUGUUUUUUUUCCUUAUAUAGAAUAUAUAGUGAACAAUUUCUUCUGUGCGCAACUCCUCCUACAUUUCUCAACGGAUUUUGACCAAACUUUCACAGAAGCUUUGUCAUCAAGUGCCCUGGCGCAUAUUGUCAGGGUUUUGCGAUUAGAUAAUAUUUGACCUAAUUAUGGCCCUUUGUUUUUUUUUCCUUAUAUAAAAUAUAUAGUGAACAAUUUCUUCUGUGCGCAACUCCUCCUACAUUUCUCAACGGAUUUUGACCAAAACUUUCUCAGAAGCUUUGUCAUCAAGUGCCCUGACACAUAUUGCCAGGGUUUUGCAAUUGGUAUAUAUUUGACCUAAUUAUGGCCCUUUGUUUUUUUCCUUAUAUAGAAUAUAUAGUGAACAAUUUCUUCUGUGCGCAACUCCUCCUACAUUUCUCAACGGAUUUUGACCAAACUUUCUUAGAAGCUUUGUUAUCAAGUGCCUGGCACAUAUUGUCGGGGUUUUGUGAUUGGAUAAUAUUUGACCGAAUUAUGGCCCUUUGUAUAUUUUUUCCUUAUACAGAAUAUAUAGAGAACAAUUUCUUCUGUGCUCAACUCCUCCUACAUUUCUCAACGGAUUUUGACCAAACUUUCUUAGAAGCUUUGUUUUCAAGUGCCUGGCACAUAUUGUCGGGGUUUUGUGAUUGGAUAAUAUUUGACCGAAUUAUGGCCCUUUGUAUAUUUUUUCCUUAUACAGAAUAUAUAGAGAACAAUUUCUUCUGUGCUCAACUCCUCCUACAUUUCUCAACGGAUUUUGACCAAACUUUCUCAGAAGCUUUGUCAUCAAGUGCCCUGACACAUAUUGCCAGGGUUUUGCAAUUGGUAUAUAUUUGACCUAAUUAUGGCCCUUUGUUUUUUUUCCUUAUAUAGAAUAUAUAGUGAACAAUUUCUUCUGUGCGCAACUCCUCCUACAUUUCUCAACGGAUUUUGACCAAACUUUCUUAGAAGCUUUGUUAUCAAGUGCCUGGCACAUAUUGUCGGGGUUUUGUGAUUGGAUAAUAUUUGACCGAAUUAUUGCCCUUUGUAUAUUUUUUCCUUAUACAGAAUAUAUAGAGAACAAUUUCUUCUGUGCUCAACUCCUCCUACAUUUCUCAACGGAUUUUGACCAAACUUUCUUAGAAGCUUUGUUUUCAAGUGCCUGGCACAUAUUGUCGGGGUUUUGUGAUUGGAUAAUAUUUGACCGAAUUAAGGCCCUUUGUAUAUUUUUUCCUUAUACAGAAUAUAUAGUGAACAAUUUCUACAGUGCGCAACUUCUCCUACAUUUCUCAAUGGAUUUUGACCAAACUUUCACAGAAGCUUUGUCAUCAAGUGCCCUGGCGCUCACUAAAUUCCCAUGUUUCUUCCAAGACAUCAUUCAAGUAUUUUUUUAAAAUUGUGAACAUACUUUUCUUGAUAUCGCACAAAACACCACAUGCCAAUAUUGUUGACAAAAGAAAAUGACAAGAGACGCAAAAAUGCAAAAAUUAAGCAAAAAUAAAGUACUGUUUACCUUUCUAAAACAUUUGGGAAAAAAAGGCAAAUAGACAACAUAAAAUUUCUCAAUCAUUUUUGUUUGAGGAAUAUUAAAAAAGCCAUAAUUCCUCCUAAAAGUUCAAUUAAAAACAAAUGCCCCUUCAUGACAAAGCUUCUGUGAAAUAUUUUGCUGAAAACCUGGUUGCAUCGCAUUGCGAUGUUCCUUGUUUAGUUCAGUCUGGCAAGAUUUUUCAAUUUAUUUUUGUAACAAUGUAAACUUUGUUUCUUAGCUCACCUCAGCACAAUGUGCUCAUGCUGAGCUUUUGUGAUGGCUUUUUGUCUGUCAUGCAUUAUAACCAGUUACUAAAAAAAUUUUUUCUGAAAACAUGACUGUAUUUGGACCAGUAUUUGGACCAAUCUUCACAGGAAAAUUCCAUAGGUGGUCUCUUACCAAAGCUGUUCAAAUGUUUCCAGUUGGUUGCGUAUGUGGGUCAUUAUAAGAAACCAAACAACAAAGAGGUUUUAAAAUGCAUGUAUUGAAAUAUUUUCUGGCCAAGAGUUUUAAUGUUUGGUUUGUUGCAUCAUUUAAAGGAGCUCUACUAAAGUUGUUAAAACAAAUUUACAAUUAUUUUUUUGUAGCGCCUUGAAAAGGUGAUAUAUAGGGGUUACUUUUGUCGAUGGCAUCGUUGUCGGCGGCCCCUAAAGCUUGUCCGGAGCAUAACUCAGUCACAAUAAGUCUGAUUGACUUUGUAUGCAUGCUUCUUUUAAUAACCAGAAGUGCAGUGCACAAGGACCGGUACUCUGCACUUCUUAAUUUUUGAGUAUUGCCCUUUGUUAAUUUUCAUAUUUAUCAAUUUUGUCUGGGCCAUUUCUCUUCAACUAUAAAAGCUAUGGACUUGAAACUUCAUAGGAUGAUAGAUCUCAUUAAGAAGAAGUGCAGUGCACAAGAAAUGGUACUCUGCAUUUCUUAUUUUUUGAAUUAUUGCCCUUUGUUGAUUUUCAUACUUUAUUUUUGUCCGGGCCAUUUCUCAUGAUUUAUAAAAGCUAUGGGCUUGAAACUUCAUAGGAUGAUAGAUCUCAUUAAGAAGUGCAGUGCACAAGAACUGGCACUCUGUUUUUCUUAUAUUUUGAGUUAUUGCCCUUUGUUACUUUUCAUACGGGCCAUUUUUCCUAAACAAUGAAAGCUAUUUACUUGAAACUUCAUAGAAUGAUAGAUUUCAUUAAGAAGAAGUGCAGUGCACAAGAACCGAUACUCUGCACUCCUUAUUUUUUUAGUUUUUGCCCUUUUUUAAUUUUCAUACUUUAUUUUUAUCUUGGCCAUUUCUCCUAACCUAUAAAAGCUUUGGGCAUGAAACUUCAUAGGAUGAUAGGUCUCAUUGAGAUGAAGUGCAGUGCACAAAAAACCGGUACUCUAUGGUUUUUGAGUUACUGCAUGCUCUUAGGGUCAGUUAGUAAAAGGUCAGUCACUCAGAGUCACUGUGGUCUUGUCCACUAAAGGCAUGUAUAACAUAUAAAAGAUGGUGCUAAUGGUCAGCUUUUAUUAUCAUUGACUUGUCUAACCAACCAAAUUGUUUUAUGGUAAAUCUUCUUAAUAACCAAUAGGCCACAUUUCAUCAAACUAUCAAUUUUUGUAUAUAGCAAUGUAUAUUGAACCAUAACUGUGAUUAUUUAAUUCAUACCCCACAGGUCAAAAUUGACCCUGAACCUGGACAAGUAAGUUUUACAAAGUCUUAUAUACAUGGGUGCAAGAAUACCUGAAUUUACUAUAAUAUUUAUAGGUUUUCUUUAGAAAGUUUACUUUAAGGAGUAUUAAAUAACCUGAACUUAAGGCAAAUACCUGAAAACCUGUACCCACAUUAUGACAUAUAUAUAUAGGAAGUCCCCCAAUGCUUAGAAAUUAUAUAUUUUGAGCGUAGCAUGUUUAGUGGACAACUACCAAGUUUUUCCUAACCAUGGCUCUUCUGUCUACUUUUCAUAUACUUGUAAAACCUAUAAAAUUCUUCUCCAAGACAAGGCCUUGUGCUUUUAUAUUUAGUGUGUGACAUUUUCUAGUUAAGUAAAGUUAUAGUUUGCUAAAAGGUGAGCGAAUGUGGGUUAUAAUUAUGACCCUGUUCUAUUUACAAUUGGUUAAAAAAAAUGAAUUUGAUUAUUGAAAAACUAAAAUGUUAAAGUAAAUUUAUGUGUAAAUAAAUAUAUAGAAAGCUAA